GAACCAGACUCCUACGGGAGGCAGCAGUGAGGAAUAUUGGUCAAUGGUCGGGAGACUGAACCAGCCAAGCCGCGUGAGGGAUGAAGGUACAGAGUAUCGUAAACCUCUUUUGUCAGGGAACAAAGGCGGGGACGCGUCCCCGGAUGAGUGUACCUGAAGAAAAAGCAUCGGCUAACUCCGUGCCAGCAGCCGCGGUAAUACGGAGGAUGCGAGCGUUAUCCGGAUUUAUUGGGUUUAAAGGGUGCGCAGGCGGUCUGUUAAGUCAGCGGUCAAAGCCCGGGGCUCAACCCCGACAAGCCGUUGAAACUGGCUUGCUAGAGUGGGCGAGAAGUAUGCGGAAUGCGUGGUGUAGCGGUGAAAUGCAUAGAUAUCACGCAGAACUCCGAUUGCGAAGGCAGCAUACCGGCGCCCAACUGACGCUGAGGCACGAAAGCGUGGGUAUCGAACAGGAUUAGAUACCCCUGUAA
rnacentral:rRNA from 1 species